CCAAUAGCGUAUAUUAAAGUUGUUGCAGUUAAAAAGCUCGUAGUUGAAUUUCGGGAUCAGUACGCCGGUCGUGCCUUCGGUAUGCACUGGUGUCACUGGUUUCUCCCUUCUGAAGAACCAUCAUGCCAUUCAGUUGGUGUGGCGGGGAAUCAGGACUGUUACUUUGAAAAAAUUAGAGUGUUUAAAGCAGGCCCGCGCUUGAAUACAUUAGCAUGGAAUAAUGAAAUAGGACGUUUGACCCUAUUUUGUUGGUUUCUAGGAUCGACGUAAUGAUUAAUAGGGAUAGUUGGGGGCAUUAGUAUUCAAUUGUCAGAGGUGAAAUUCUUGGAUUUAUUGAAGACUAACUACUGCGAAAGCAUUUGCCAAGGAUGUUUUCAUUAAUCAAGAACGAAAGUUAGGGGAUCGAAGACGAUCAGAUACCGUCGUAGUCUUAACCAUAAACUAUGCCGACUAGGGAUCGGACGAUGUUAAUUUUUUAAUGACUCAUUCGGCGCCUUACG
rnacentral:rRNA from 1 species